GUGGUUAAGUGAAUAAGGGCGUACGGUGAAUGCCUUGGCACUAGGAGCCGAUGAAGGACGGGACGAACACCGAUAUGCUUCGGGGAGCUGUAAGUAAGCUUUGAUCCGGAGAUUUCCGAAUGGGGGAACCUCAUUGUUUUUAUCGACAAUGGUCCACGCAGUGAACACAUAGCUGAGUGGAAGGUAGACGUGGUGAACUGAAACAUCUCAGUAGCCACAGGAAGAGAAAGAAAAAUCGAUUUCCCGAGUAGCGGCGAGCGAAACGGAAAGAGGCCAAACCAGCGUGCUUGCAUGCUGGGGUUGUAGGACUGAUGGACGGGAGUGAAUGAGCUAGUCGAACGCCAUGGAAAGGGCGAUCAGAGAGGGUGACAAUCCCGUAGGCGAAAGCUCAGCCACCUCAUUCAGUAUCCUGAGUACGGCGGUACACGUGAAAUUCCGUCGGAAUCCGCCAGGACCAUCUGGCAAGCCUAAAUACUCCCUAGUGACCGAUAGUGAACCAGUACCGUGAGGGAAAGGUGAAAAGCACCCCGGAAGGGGAGUGAAAGAGUACCUGAAACCGUAUGCCUACAAGCAGUCAGAGCCCGUUAAGGGGUGAUGGCGUACUUUUUGUAGAACGGACCGGCGAGUGACGAUAGCAAGCAAGGUUAAGCUGAAGAAGCGGAGCCACAGCGAAAGCGAGUCUGAAGAGGGCGUUGAGUUUGUUGU
rnacentral:rRNA from 1 species